GGGGGCGACCUGGCUUCGACGUGGGUUGCAAAGCAGCGCAGUGCAUGCCGAGGGCCAGUGACCUCGUAAAUCCAUCUGGAAAACCACAAACGCCAACGACGAGCGCUUCGUUCUAGCCGCUUAAUACCGGCUAGCGCUGCACCGGACCACUCACGGGCCGGACGUAACCCGGGCAACCGGGCCGUAGCAGUGUCAUUCACGUGAGAUAAGGGUGCGUCAGGCCGUGCGGCGCACCUCGAAAAUUCAGCGGAUCGCUUGUGCUCAGCCUGCCCGGCGGCGGAUCACCGGCUAAAUCAAAUGACGAGGCUACGCAUGUAGUACUGUCUGUAGAGGGCUUGCGGACGCGGGUUCGAUUCCCGCCGCCUCCACCA
rnacentral:tmRNA from 1 species